rnacentral:misc_RNA from 1 species
GAAAUGCGAUAAGUAAUGUGAAUUGCAGAAUUCAGUGAAUCAUCGAAUCUUUGAACGCACCUUGCGCUCCUUGGUAUUCCUUGGAGCAUGCCUGGUUGAGUAUCAUGAAAUCUUCAAAGUAAAUCUUUUGUUAACUCAAUUGGUUUCUACUUUGGUAUUGGAGGUCUUUGCAGCUUCACACCUGCUCCUCUUUGUUCAUUAGCUGGAUCUCAGUGUUAUGCUUGGUUCCACUCAGCGUGAUAAGUUAUCUAUCGCUGAGGACACUGUAAAAGGUGGCCAAGGUAAAUGCAGAUGAACCGCUUCUAAUAGUCCAUUGACUUGGACAAUACUUUUAUGAUCUGAUCUCAAAUCAGGUAGGACUACCCGCUGAACUUAAGC